AUAUAUUCAUUAACGUACUUUAUUCAACAUAUAAAGACUGCGUACACGUGUGCACGGUAUGUAGAUUGUUCGUUCACCGACUUCGUGAAGAUACCGCUAUAUCUAGAUUUCUGACUCAUUCUGAUCAUGUCCCCAUGUAUAAUGCAGGAACAUCAUUCCCAGUUGUUUAUUGCUUCCCCACAUAUCAUAACCACGGGGACAUACAAGGCCAUUGAUGGUUAUAUCGGGAGACUACCGGCGUGUGACUCAACCUGCCUACAGUGAUCGUCUGCUUAAUGGAGGCUAGUGUUCGGAAUGUAACGAUUCAGACGGGUAUUAUUGAUAUGAGAAGGAAAAGCUGUAAAAUAUGAUUCCGCUAUGGAGUUAUUUAGGCGGACAUAGGUGGGAAGACUAUAAGAGUGAGACUAUUCUGCAUCGGAUCCUAUUAAAGUAAAGCUGCAGUAUUGAUCAACGUCGCUGUCACAGACUUGGCUGGAUUAACAUGUUGUCUAUCUAAUUACAUCUGCGUUCUAGUUCUGUUUGCAUAAAUCGCAAAGAGGUUUUAUUGUCCAGAACUUUAUGACAGUGUAUGGUCCCUGCUCAGCUGGAUAGGAUAAGGAACACCAGUGCUGAAAGUAACAUUAAUCCAGUCCUAUCAUCAUUUUUUCCUGGAGAGAUUGAAGAGCAGUUUUGCGGCCUGCUCAUAAGAGGGAAGAAUCCUAAAUGAGGAAUUUCGGAGGAGGAAAGUGGGGAUACAUGGUUACAGGAGUCGAGAUAUUUUCUUUCAAAUGUUAUAUUGAGUGAGUACAAAUACGUUCAUUCUUACUUGAAAAUAAACAUAUACUCAGAUUUCUAGACUUAUUGCUAGCUUUUGUCAUGGACAGAUAGUUU